UGUAGCAGGCGUCACCUGGUGAGUGACGUAAGCGCCUCCCUGAUUGGGAAGGGAGGGGAUAAAAGCUUGCAGGUGUUCCCCGUACUGGUGGUUCUGAAAGGACGCUGGUGUCGGUGGGAGCGUGAGUGAGAGCUGCACAGGGUUGUAGUGUCGCUGGAGCUGCGGGGCGGCCACGCAGUCAGUGGGGUGGCGUCCAGAGCGGAGACACGCAACGAUCGUGCAUACGAUAAUUGACAGGGCAGGGAUUGCUGGUGCGGCAUAUCGCUGUUUCCUGCUGUCCGUUUGUGUUUAUUUAAGGUUCUUUUUCUUAGGUUGGUCCACUCGGCCUUGCACGGCCUGUUGUCAUAUGCGGGAGCAGAUUCUGUAAGGGUGGACUAACCACGUUUUUUUCUAUUAUUUUUUGUUUUUUUGUGUCGUUCAGUUUGUUUGCCAUUUCCCUAGCCGUCCCCUGUGGAUACCGUAGCCUGGCGCGUUGAUCGUGUUGAAAGGCCGAUCAGGGUGUGUAUUUAAUCACGCGUGAAUUAUAUUAUAUUGCGGUGUCUUAACCCUUAGCAUGACGGUGUGUGCGGUGUUCCACUAAGGGCUUUGCGAACCCUUCAGCACAGGGAGCAACGGUGCCAGUGACGAUCAGAUGUCUGGGGAUGUGUGACGGGGACGGCGCUGUCUUUUAAGAAAACUAAUAAAGUCUGCACAAUUUAAUCUACACCUGACUACACGCCAUUAUUCAUAGUGAGUGAAGUGGGUCGAUUGAGUGUCGGGCAACAAUGUUUAAAAUAUUUGGCGUCUGCUAAGCUAGCUUAAUGGUUGUCGUGUUUCGUUUAUUGUAUUGCGUUUUUGCCGAGCUCUUACGGCAGGUUUGAGGUGACCUCCACAAUAACGAGAGGCUUCCGACCACCAGUAAAGCUUGAUUUUAUGACUGGACGCUACAAAGCUGACUUUGACUGUUUGUCUGUAACUGCGAUCCACUCUGUGCAAGUAACUGUCUGAGAUGGGUUAUGACACUGGAGUCUUCUUCCAGUAAACACAGUUUACGAAGAAUUCAUGCUAAAUCAUACUUCCGCAAAUAGUCCGGAUGAGUUUAGAGUUGGCAAAAGCGUA